rnacentral:rRNA from 1 species
AUGACGAGCGUAUGGAAGACCAAGGUUCUCCCCGGGCUCAACAAGAUCUUCGACAAGGAUGGCAAGAAGGCCGCCUCCGCCGAGUUCUUGAAAUCCUUCAACAAGGAGGAGAUUGACAAGGAGAUUGAGGACAAGAAGACAGAACUAGAGCCCAAGGUUGUGGAGACCAUUGAAGCAUCUCCUCCAGAAAUUAAGGAUAAGAAAACAUCCAAGAUCAAGAAGAACUCAGUUGCCGUCACCAAGUUCCUUGACGAUUUGGCCAAGAUUGAUUUCCCCGGAGCCAAGCUGGUGAGCGACGCGGUGGCCAAGUCCGGCACCACGCCCCUCUCCCCGGCCAUCGUCUUCAUCUUGGACAAGGUUGCGCCCUUCGUCCCAGCGCCCAAAGAGGAGCCCAAGGCCGAGCCCGAGGACGCCGCCCCGGCAGAGGAGACCACCACCCGCGAGGUCGCCGUGGAGGAGAAGAAGGAGGAAGCCGAGCCCUCCGCCGCACCGGCAGAAGCGGCCGCGCCGGUGGAGGCAGCCGCGCCCGCUGCUGAGGUAGUGGAGGAGAAGAAAGAGGAGGAGAAACCCGCGGAAGCCGCCGCACCUGCCGCCGAGGAGCCAGAGAAGAAGUGA